CUACAAAAUCAGAUUGCCCUCAACGUAGACGCUGCAUACUCAAAGGAAGAUCAUACAUGAGCUUGUGGAGCAGUACUACGGGAUAGCUACGUAACUUUCAUUGGUGCGGCAACGGUAAAACUCCAGCAUGUGGCUGAUGUGCUAUCGGCUGAAGUUGCAGCACUAGCAGAAGGUUUGAAACUUGCACUCUCUGUGGGAUGCACCUCGGCCAGGGUUCAGUCCGAUUGUUUGGUGCUGAUUGAAGCAAUGCAGCAGAACGAUGGACAUUCUAUGGAAGCAGCGCCAAUUCUAGAUGAUUGUCGGUUACUUCUUUUUUAUUUCGGGAAGGUCGUCUUAGAGCGUUGUAAUCGUGAUGCUAACUCAGCUGCUCGUGUGCUAGCGCAGAACAGUCGUGUUGAUCCACCGAAUGUGUGGUUGGACUCACCUCCGAAUGUUAUUCAUGAACUUUUAGCAGAAAAUGCAAAUGUUGUUUAA
rnacentral:rRNA from 1 species